rnacentral:rRNA from 1 species
AGCGAACGCUGGCGGCAGGCUUAACACAUGCAAGUCGAGCGGGCACUUCGGUGUCAGCGGCAGACGGGUGAGUAAUACGUGGGAACGUACCCUUUGGUUCGGAAUAACGCUGGGAAACUAGCGCUAAUACCGGAUACGCCCUUUUGGGGAAAGGCUUGCUGCCGAAGGAUCGGCCCGCGUCUGAUUAGCUAGUUGGUGGGGUAAUGGCCUACCAAGGCGACGAUCAGUAGCUGGUCUGAGAGGAUGAUCAGCCACACUGGGACUGAGACACGGCCCAGACUCCUACGGGAGGCAGCAGUGGGGAAUAUUGGACAAUGGGCGCAAGCCUGAUCCAGCCAUGCCGCGUGAGUGAUGAAGGCCUUAGGGUUGUAAAGCUCUUUUGUCCGGGACGAUAAUGACGGUACCGGAAGAAUAAGCCCCGGCUAACUUCGUG